CCUACGGGAGGCUGCAGUGGGGAAUAUUGGACAAUGGGGGCAACCCUGAUCCAGCCAUGCCGCGUGUGUGAAGAAGGCCCUCGGGUUGUAAAGCACUUUCAGUGAGGAAGAACGCCUGGUGGUUAAUACCCAUCAGGAAAGACAUCACCCACAGAAGAAGCACCGGCUAACUCCGUGCCAGCAGCCGCGGUAAUACGGAGGGUGCGAGCGUUAAUCGGAAUUACUGGGCGUAAAGCGCGCGUAGGUGGCUUGAUAAGCCGGUUGUGAAAGCCCCGGGCUCAACCUGGGAACGGCAUCCGGAACUGUCAAGCUAGAGUGCAGGAGAGGAAGGUAGAAUUCCCGGUGUAGCGGUGAAAUGCGUAGAGAUCGGGAGGAAUACCAGUGGCGAAGGCGGCCUUCUGGACUGACACUGACACUGAGGUGCGAAAGCGUGGGUAGCAAACAGGAUUAGAUACCCCAGUAGUC
rnacentral:rRNA from 1 species